rnacentral:rRNA from 1 species
CCCUUUAUUUUUAGCCUUCCUUAGGGAGGUAGUUGAGGAGAGCGAGAGCGAGGGCCGGCGGAGGGGCGCUGGUUUGCGAGGUGCGGGCCGCCGGCUCGGAAGGCGAGGUUAGAGGCCGCUCCGACGAGGGAGCGGUAACGGCGCGGGCUAAGGGCUAAGGGUCCCAGGACGCCGCCGCCGUGCUCUGAGUGAGCUCCUGCUGGAACCAAGGCCGCCCAAAGGGAGGGGCAGCUGAGCUGAUCCUCUCCCUUCGGUACUUCUAGUCGCGUGAGGACUGGAGACGCCCGUAGUUAUAGCCCGAGAGGCACGAGAAAGACAGCGAGAUAAGACAAGACUCCUUCGUCGGUCGGUUACAGUCCCAGAUGAAGCCGGCGUCCUAAAGGCUCCUCGUAUCAGCCGAGGCUCUCCGAAAAUAAAACCUCUCCAAACAAGGUAGUUGACCGACCUAGCAGUUCCGGGACUCCAUAUGGCUCCUUCUCGAGAACCGUCGACGACCCGACCUACGACAGCGAAAGUUAUCUUACGAUCAGAAGUCGUGUGCAUAGAAAAGGGAUCGACGGGACGACACACACAAACCUUAAGAAGGUGACGUAAUAGUACCUGUUUUAUAUGUCGUAGAAGCCUAAGGAAUACUUCUAAACCUAUAGAAGUGUUAACCUUUACACCUUUUCGCUAGUUCUACCGAAACCCAAGUAACAGAUCAAGAGAUGUAUUAUAGACCUCAUCGAACGUAAGAGGAUAUAGAACUCAAAUCCGUGUAACGAUCUGACUCCGAGGAAGUGGAAUUUGCACGUUGUGGGUUAGGUCCGGUUAAAUGACACGAACAAGCGCCUUAUGGUUUCUGGUUCUUUCUUAGCACGUCAUCACGGCAACUACUAAAGAAGUGGUUCAUAGUACGCAGUUCAAUGGAUAAGGUGGUUUAACAAAUGUUUUGACCCUUUCAAGUCUUCUAUUACUGACCACGCUUCUUCCGUACAUCUUUCAACUUUUUAAAGUGCCUGUGGUGACAUCUAGUCUCGACGUUUCGUUAAUGUAUGGCCACAACAGAAACACCACGGAGAAGUUUAAGAAAGGUUAACAACGGGUGACUACUUCAACAUGGCUCGUUUCCUUUUCAACUGGACCUGCUAAGAUCGAACUUGUAUCUAUUACUCCUUACACGUCGACGAAAACAUAAAAAGUUUUGAGCCAUACCUCGUGAACAGCGCAGUCUGCAUGAAGUCUGUAGUUUGGGAUGCUUCACCCAAUGACUAGAUCGAGGUCUUGGUUUACUACACAUAACCAGUUUGUAAACCGAAGGGAUAUUCGUCGAAACCUAAGCUGCCUAUCGCUGCGAUGAACCAAGACAACAAAAAUACGAGAAUAAAGACCGUGGCCACUGCAAAUAUUUACCAGAUAGAGUCGAACUAGUCAACGUCUUCUCCGAAGGAAAGGAAUUGCCCUAUAACUUCGUCGGUGUGGUGGACCAGGUUGAUUAUUGACCUAUGGAAGGCUCACAGUAUGACGUUUAUAAAGACAUGUGGCAACGCGGUUAUUACUACGACAAAAGUUGUGAUCUUCCCGGAUAUAGAGUGUCGCUUUCCUUCUCCUCACGCACGACAUUUCACGACAUGAAGAACUAAACCUUACAUAAGAAACAAUUACACCAUAGACCGUGACAGAAUUUUGUUAACCUAAAAAAGAGUUCGGGCUUCCUGUAAGGACAGGUCGAGCGAUUCCAAUAUGGACCCGUCCGAAGGAAGAAGUAGUGGAUACAAGACUGAAGUCCUACCCGGUCAAAUAGUAGACUUGAAUACGUUGAGAAACCAGACUAGAUAUUGAAGUAUUCCUUCAUACAAGACUCUUACUUUCUUCUAUGUCUCAAACAGGGGAGCAAGGGUAUAGUGUGACUUCAUGGUUUUCAAGACAACAAACCUGAUAACCCUAAGUGUACGAGACAUGACCGCGGGAACUAGAAUGGAAAAGACGAUCAGAUGAAGAAGGACCCGAUACAGCAUAUGGCGUUAGUCGACGAGUUACACAUGGCGUGCUCUAUGCUGUGGCCACCAAACAUAACCGGCUAAUAUGUGUUGUGUCACUAUAAAAGAGAGCACGAGUGGGUCUAGUAGACGGAGCCGUAUAAACCCGACUUUCAUAGUGGUCAUCGACGUCCGAAGUGGUAUGGAGAGUAGUAGAAGUGAGAAGACAAGUUAGUCAUGACGUCUUGGGCCGAAGAAGGUGACAAGUCGUGAAAGGGUCGUGUCUUAAAUUAGCUGUACCUGUCCCUCCUGCUCCACAGCCCUUCUUACCUUGUAUAAGUGGUGCCCGAGGUGUGGCGCAUAACGGUCAAGGGACUGGGGCUUCUUCUACAUGUUGACCUCCUCUAAGCCUGGCAGCCCUUGCUACUCCUGCCGCCUCCAACAUCGAGCCCGCCCAGGUUGCCGUUUCCAUCGGGCCCGCUCGGGUUGCCGUUUCUCUGGGAGCUCCUUGUCGUCGUCGGGUCCUCCCUGGACAGAGUGGGCUGCGAGUUUCCCGAGGGGCAGUCGGCAGACGUCUUACGCCAGGGCUCCUGUAGUUCCUACUACGAAUCUACU